rnacentral:rRNA from 1 species
CCUACGGGAGGCAGCAGUGGGGAAUAUUGGGCACUGGGCGCAAGCCUGACCCAGCAACGCCGCGUGAAGGAAGAAGGCUUUCGGGUUGUAAACUUCUGUGAAGAGGGAAGAGCAGAAGAAGGUACCUCUUGAAUAAGCCACGGCGAACUACGUGCCAGCAGCCGCGGUAAUACGUAGGUGGCAAGCGUUGUCCGGAUUUAGUGGGUGUAAAGGGCGUGUAGCCGGGCUGACAAGUCAGAUGUGAAAUCCGGGGGCUCAACCCCCGAACUGCAUUUGAAACUGUUGGUCUUGAGUAUCGGAGAGGCAGGCGGAAUUCCUAGUGUAGCGGUGAAAUGCGUAGAUAUUAGGAGGAACCCCAGUGGCGAAGGCGACCUGCUGGACGACAACUGACGGUGAGGCGCGAAAGCGUGGGGAGCAAACAGGAUUAGAUACCCCGGUAGUC